UGGGCAACCUGCCCUGUACUGGGAAAUGAUCAUUGGAAACGAUGACUAAUACCGCAUGUGGUCCUCGGAAGGCAUCUUCUGAGGAAGAAAGGAUUUAUUCGGUACAGGAUGGGCCCGCAUCUGAUUAGCUAGUUGGUGAGAUAACAGCCCACCAAGGCGACGAUCAGUAGCCGACCUGAGAGGGUGAUCGGCCACAUUGGGACUGAGACACGGCCCAA
rnacentral:rRNA from 1 species